rnacentral:rRNA from 1 species
UACAGAGGGUGCGAGCGUUGUCCGGAAUCACUGGGCGUAAAGGGCGCGUAGGUGGCCACCAUAAGGCCGCGGUGAAAGUCUGGGGCUCAACCCCGGAUCGGCCGCGGCGACUGUGGGGCUUGGGUACCGUAGAGGCAGAUGGAAUUCCGGGUGUAGCGGUGGAAUGCGUAGAGAUCCGGAAGAACACCAGUGGCGAAGGCGGCUUGCCAGAACGCGCUCGACGGUGAGGGAUGAAAGCUGGGGGAGCAAACCGG